rnacentral:rRNA from 1 species
AUUGAACGCUGGCGGCAGGCUUAACACAUGCAAGUCGAGCGGGGUGAUGGUGCUUGCACUAUCACUUAGCGGCGGACGGGUGAGUAAUGCUUAGGAAUCUGCCUAUUAGUGGGGGACAACAUCUCGAAAGGGAUGCUAAUACCGCAUACGUCCUACGGGAGAAAGCAGGGGAUCACUUGUGACCUUGCGCUAAUAGAUGAGCCUAAGUCGGAUUAGCUAGUUGGUGGGGUAAAGGCCUACCAAGGCGACGAUCUGUAGCGGGUCUGAGAGGAUGAUCCGACACACUGGGACUGAGACACGGCCCAGACUCCUGCGGGAGGCAGCAGUGGGGAAUAUUGGACAAUGGGGGGAACCCUGAUCCAGCCAUGCCGCGUGUGUGAAGAAGGCCUUAUGGUUGUAAAGCACUUUAAGCGAGGAGGAGGCUCUUUUGGUUAAUACCCAAGAUGAGUGGACGUUACUCGCAGAAUAAGCACCGGCUAACUCUGUGCCAGCCGCCGCGGUAA